rnacentral:lncRNA from 1 species
UUCUUAUGUCGCCUUUUCUUAAGUCAGGUAGAGACCGACUUAAAACGUCAUUUUAACCGACUUAAAAAGCGUUUCUUAAGUCAGUCCAAAUCCGACUUAAGAAGUCAAUACUUCUUAUGACUGGAAUUGUUAGGCCAGGCUCGGAACCGACUUAAGAAGUCGAUUCUAACCGACCUAAGAAGUGUUUUUUCCACUAGUG